rnacentral:rRNA from 1 species
UGGGGAAUAUUGGACAAUGGGCGCAAGCCUGAUCCAGCCAUGCCGCGUGAGUGAUGAAGGCCCUAGGGUUGUAAAGCUCUUUCACCGGUGAAGAUAAUGACGGUAACCGGAGAAGAAGCCCCGGCUAACUUCGUGCCAGCAGCCGCGGUAAUACGAAGGGGGCUAGCGUUGUUCGGAUUUACUGGCGUAAAGCGCACGUAGGCGGACUUUUAAGUCAGGGGUGAAAUCCCGGGGCUCAACCCCGGAACUGCCUUUGAUACUGGAAGUCUUGAGUAUGGUAGAGGUGAGUGGAAUUCCGAGUGUAGAGGUGAAAUUCGUAGAUAUUCGGAGGAACACCAGUGGCGAAGGCGGCUCACUGGACCAUUACUGACGCUGAGGUGCGAAAGCGUGGGGAGCAAACAGG